CCUACGGGAGGCAGCAGUGAGGAAUAUUGGUCAAUGGGCGGAAGCCUGAACCAGCCAAGUCGCGUGCAGGAUGACUGCCCUACGGGUUGUAAACUGCUUUUAUCCGGGAACAAAGUCCCUCACGUGUAGGGUUUUGAGAGUACCGUAAGAAAAAGGACCGGCUAAUGCCGUGCCAGCAGCCGCGGUAAUACGGAAGGUCCGGGCGUUAUCCGGAUUUAUUGGGUUUAAAGGGUGCGUAGGCGGCAUGUCAAGCUUGCUGUGAAAUGUGCGGGCUCAACCCGGGCCUUGCAGCGGAAACUGGCGUGAUUGAGUCCGCGGAAAGCAGGCGGAAUUCGUGGUGUAGCGGUGAAAUGCUUAGAUAUGACGAAGAACCCCGAUUGCGAAGGCAGCUUGCUGCAGCGGAACUGACGCUGAUGCUCGAAAGCGCGGGUAUCGAACAGGAUUAGAUACCCUUGUAGUC
rnacentral:rRNA from 1 species